rnacentral:rRNA from 1 species
CGGACUGAGCGGCGGACGGGUGAGUAACGCGUGGGUAACCUGCCUCGUACAGGGGGAUAACAGUUGGAAACGGCUGCUAAUACCGCAUAAGCGCACAGUACCGCAUGGUACGGUGUGAAAAACUCCGGUGGUAUGAGAUGGACCCGCGUCUGAUUAGGUAGUUGGUGGGGUAACGGCCUACCAAGCCGACGAUCAGUAGCCGACCUGAGAGGGUGACCGGCCACAUUGGGACUGAGACACGGCCCAA